UACGGGGGGGGCAAGCGUUGUUCGGAUUUACUGGGCGUAAAGGGCGCGUAGGCGGCAAUUCAAGUCAGUUGUGAAAUCUCCGAGCUUAACUCGGAACGGUCAACUGAUACUGUUUUGCUAGAGUACAGAAGGGGCAAUCGGAAUUCUUGGUGUAGCGGUGAAAUGCGUAGAUAUCAAGAGGAACACCUGAGGUGAAGACGGGUUGCUGGGCUGAUACUGACGCUGAGGCGCGAAAGCUAGGGUAGCAAACGGG
rnacentral:rRNA from 1 species